rnacentral:lncRNA from 1 species
CUGAUAAAAGUCACCACCAUUUUGCGAAUGAAUUAUUAAAAAAAAUAAAUGUUUUUGUUUUGAAAUGAUAUGCGUAUGACAAUUCAUGGACAGUGUAUAACUGAUGAAAAAGGAACUUAUGAUUUUGCUUGCUUGCUGCAUUGUAAAACGUGGGUAUCUCCUGCAGAACAUUGGAUAACACGAUCAGGUAACCCAUGUCCAAGGCAAAAUGUCAAGCAAAGUAUUAUAUACCACGGGGUAGUUUUUAUACCGAUAAGAAUUCAUGGAUCACAUAAAGAAGAUUACGAAUGGCGAAUACCUUUUUUAAGUGACAAAGAUGUUUCUUAUAAACACAUUUACGCACACCCAAUUACUGUGUUAAAAAAUAUUUCACAAGAUGUUAUUGCAAAAUACUGUGAAUGUAAAGAUUUACUCUGUUCUUAUUUCUUGAAAACAAUUCUUUUCUGAAAAAUUACCAUUAACUGUAUGGAAGCUUACGUUACUUCAUUUCAGAAAACAACAUGUUCGAGAACAAAAUAGAGGGUCAUGCUCGGG